rnacentral:rRNA from 1 species
GACGAACGCUUGCGGCGUGCCUAAGAAAUGCAAGUCGAACGGGAGCUUCGGCUCUAGUGGCGAACGGUCGCGUAACACGUGGGCAACCUGCCCUGAAGCGGGGGACAACGUUCCGAAAGGAGCGCUAAUACCGCAUGUGGAUUGAUACGGCAUCGUAUCUCUCUAAAGACUUCGGUCGCUUCAGGAUGGGCCCGCGGCCUAUCAGCUUGUUGGCGAGGUAACGGCUCACCAAGGCGACGACGGGUAGCUGGUCUGAGAGGACGACCAGCCGGAUUGG